rnacentral:rRNA from 1 species
GAUGAACGCUGGCGGCGUGCCUAAUACAUGCAAGUCGAGCGAACAGACGAGGAGCUUGCUCCUCUGACGUUAGCGGCGGGCGGGUGAGUAACACGUGGAUAACCUACCUAUAAGACUGGGAUAACUUCGGGAAACCGGAGCUAAUACCGGAUAAUAUAUUGAACCGCAUGGUUCAAUAGUGAAAGACGGUUUUGCUGUCACUUAUAGAUGUAUCCGCGCCGCAUUAGCUAGUUGGUAAGGUAACGGCUUACCAAGGCAACGAUGCGUAGCCGACCUGAGAGGGUGAUCGGCCACACUGGAACUGAGACACGGUCCAGACUCCUACGGGAGGCAGCAGUAGGGAAUCUUCCGCAAUGGGCGAAAGCCUGACGGAGCAACGCCGCGUGAGUGAUGAAGGUCUUCGGAUCGUAAAACUCUGUUAUUAGGGAAGAACAAAUGUGUAAGUAACUAUGCACGUCUUGACGGUACCUAAUCAGAAAGCCACGGCUAACUACGUG